UCUUUGGCUCUCUGCACAGCAUCGCUAGAGGGGUUUCUGAUCUGGGGGGAGGACUUGGUGUUGAUCUUGUCGUAAAGCUGAAACAACACGACACACAACACUGAACAACAAUGAAUGGCUCAUGGUGAAUCAUUUCAAUGGCUGAAUGAUACAUUUUGUUCCUUCUCUCUGUACUCAGAAUGACCGGUUGUCUUUAGUGCCAGGCCCUCGUCAAUGUGGACAAUUGCUUGCUUUCAUUUAAGCAUUACAGAAGAUUUACAAGGCCCAUCCCUCCCCCCAUGUCAUCGUUGGCCAGCCAGCGUUUACGGUGAGACGCCUCCUGAGUAUUUAACCACGGGGCAGGGGUUUCCAGUACCUGGUUGACUGGAAGGGUUCUGGCCCGGAGGAGAGGUGUUGGGUUCCUGCUAAAGACAUCCUGGACCUGGUCCUCAUCUCCGGUUUUCACCGCCGACACCCCGGUCUGCCAGUCCUCACAUUUUUUACCCUUGGCUGUUUCUGGACUCUACCCACCUGCCUGACGUUUCUGCCUGCCAUGACCUCGAGCUUGCCUGCCACACUGUACCUGCUGGACUCUGAACUGGUUUUGACCUUUUACCUGUCCACGACCAUUCUCUUGCCUACCAUUUUGGAAUAUAAUAUAUAUCAAAGACUCAAACCAUCUGCCACCUGUGUCUGGCCUUGUGCUCUUAUAAGGUGAGCGAGUGUCGGAGAUCUUAGGUUGGCAAGGGGAGAAAUGUCACCUUGGACAAUUUCAUAACUUCACAAGGGGGGCAUUGAGUUCUCAAUAUUAGUCAGGUACAUCAGAAGAUCAUCAGCAAAUAAGUUUAGAUGUAUGUUUAGUUUAUAUGUUUAUUGACACUUGUUAUGUUUAUUUUUAAAAUUUAACUAGGCAAGCCAGUUAAGAACAAAUUCUUAUUUACAAUGUCGUAGCUGAAUCAGAAUUAGUUCGGUAACAUAGAUAAAUAAGAUGUUUUAUUUACUUUCAUAAUAUGCUUAUGUGAGAUACUUGUCAUUAGAAUGUCUCUUUUUGGACUAUACUGUUGGCAGUUGCAUUUUCCUUUCUUCUCUAGUGAAAAGUCACUUGGAGCCCAGAGCGGGGAGAGGUCAGGCUUGUCUUUUACAUGUCUGGUAAUAUGCAGAAUAUCAGAAUGGAACAUUGUCUUCAUAUGUGAACAGGUUUGAACAUUGUCUUCAUAUGUGAAUGUAUCUGUUGAACCCUGUGAAGGGCUCCACAAUGUCUGUACGCCAGUCACCCUCCUUUUCCCAUUGGGGGGAGGAGUAUGACAGUGUCUGGAACCAUUGUGUUACACCUCUGAUGUUGAACUUAUCUUGACCUAGUAUAUGACCUAGAGGCUCACUCCCCUCAGUGAGCUUGUCCAGGAGGGUGUGUAUUUGAGAUGGGAGAAUCUAAAGUUGAAAAUUGAUAUACGCCAUUGGAUGAGGUAAUGUUUUGGUACUAUAAAGUACCAAGAACGAGAAGUAGAACCUCGUCAUACAGAGCAAACUGAACGAUAAUUUAUAGCUUAUGCUAUCUGGCUAUGGGAUACUACUCUCCCAAGUAAAAGGCCCUUUGUGAAGUUUCUGAGAUCUGUGGUUCGUCAUGUAUAAUUCUGAAAUCUGUCUAUUUAAUUCUGAAAGCGGUUCAAUUGCCAGUGCAAACAGGAGAGGGGAGAGAACAUCCCUGUCUUGUGCCCCUUUCUGAAGCAGAUUCAUCACAUAUAUUACACAUGUAUUAUUUGUGUGAAUAUUUGCUUUAGGAUAUUUAUAUAAUAUUUUUUAAAUGAUUAGGCCAUUACUACUGAAUAGUGUUUGUUCCAGGUGCAUAGGACCCGCACACUGUCGCAAAAAGGAAUAAACCCAAAACGUAUAGUUUUAUGAAAUGUAUUAUUUUGGCUGGAAAGUUGAAGACUUCCAAAUUUGGAGAAAAAAAACAUUCAAGAUGAUCAAAAGCCUUUUCUGCAUCAACAGCCCUUUUAAAUAAGUCUACAUCUUGUUUUUUAGUAUAAUGUAUUAUACAGAAACUUGUAUUUGUUUGUGUCUAUUUUUAAUUAACUAUGUUCUAUUUAAUAUGAAUCAAUUCUGGUAAUACUUUUGACAUUCUGUUUAUGAGUUUUGUUAUUUUAUUGUUGCUAUUUAUUAAACUGAAGGGUCUGUAAUAUGCAGGGGACUCAAGAUUUUCCUGGUUUUAAUAUAACUGAGAUAAAUGUUUGAUACAUGGAACUAGGACGCGUUGAAUUGAGUGACGUGUGUUGUCAUUUGAGUAAAUAGGGUUGCGACUUUGUCCCAGAAGGAUUAACAAAGUUCUAUGGGGAAGCCAUAUCUGGUACUUUUCUCCGCACAAAUAUUUUGAGUGUCUAAUAUUUUUUCUGCUGAUAAUUGCUUCAGGA